rnacentral:rRNA from 1 species
UGAGUAACCUGCCCUUAACUCUGGGAUAAGCCUGGGAAACUGGGUCUAAUACCGGAUAUGACUCCUCAUCGCAUGGUGGGGGGUGGAAAGCUUUUUUGUGGUUUUGGAUGGACUCGCGGCCUAUCAGCUUGUUGGUGAGGUGAUGGCUCACCAAGGCGAGGACGGGUAGCCGGCCUGAGAGGGCGACCGGCCACACGUGGGACUGAGACACGGCCCAGACCUCCGUACGGGGAGCAG